rnacentral:rRNA from 1 species
UUAAAUGGCCGCGGUAUUUUGACCGUGCAAAGGUAGCAUAAUCAUUAGUUUUUUAAUUGAAAGCUGGAAUGAAAGGUUGAAUGAGAAAAUAACUGUCUUUAUAAUAUUUUAUUAGAAUUUUAUUUUUAAGUUAGAAAGCUUAAAUCUUAUUUAAAGACGAGAAGACCCUUUAGAGUUUUAUAUUAAUUAAAUUUUUAAUUUUUUAGAAUUAACUAUGAAAAAAUUUAGUUUUAUUUAGUUGGGGCGAUUAAAAAAUUUAAUAAACUUUUUUUUUUACUUAACAUUUAUAUAUGAUUAUAUGAUCCAUAUAUUAUGAUUAUAAGAAUAAAUUACCUAAGGGAUAACAGCGUUAUUUUUUUUGAGAGUUCUUAUCGAAAAAAAAGAUUGCGACCUCGAUGUUGGAUUAAAAUUAAAUUAUGGUGAAGAGGCUAUAACUUUAGGUCUGUUCGACCUUUAAAAUUUUACAUGAUCUGAGUUUAAACCGGUGUAAGCCAGGUUGGUUUCUAUCUUAAAUUUAUUAUAAUAUUUUAGUACGAAAGGACCAAAUAUUAUAUUUAUAAUAUAAAUUUUGAAUAAAAU